CAGUCUGAAAAAUAUCAAGAAAUAUCUCCUUUAUUCUUUUAUUAGGAAGAAAAAAAACUGUUAUGGAAGCAACUGAAGAAUUUAACUGGAGUAAAGGAGGGGAGAAAGUACACGAUUCUAACGUUUCCCAAAUAUGGCUGUGCAAUAUGAACAGAAUCCAAAGAAUGAAGAUAGCUAAUGAAUAAAGGGUCUCGCUAUGCAGUUAGGGUUAGCUGGCCUUGGGCUCACUUUUUAGCCCAGGCUGUCUCGAACUUGCAAACAAUUCUCCUGCCUCAGCCUCCCAAAUGCUGGGAUUAUAGGCAUGUGCCACCAUGUCAAGCUAAAGAACUACUAAUUUCCAACUAUAUGAACUACUUCAAAUCAUUCCUGGAAACAGAAGAUAGAAAUUCAAUGAAUCACUUGUGGGAUGCUCUAGACAUUCCCUCCAGUGGAGGAAGCAAAAAUGACCCAAAAGGAAAAUUCUGAACGGGGGAGAAAUAUCCUUACCAAGCCAUACCAAGUUCCUGUAGUUCUCCAACAUGACUUCUCUGUAUAAAUCCUUCUGAGACGGAGCAAGCCAUUCCCACUCCUCUUGGGAAAAGUCUAGAGCCACAUCUCUAAAAGUCACCAACCCCUGAAAUAUGAAAAAAAAUUCUUGCUUAUCAGAUGCUCAGGCUCCCACAUGGUCUCCACAAAAACAAAACAAAACAAAACAAAAAGCUAAAAUCUGAAAGUUCAAAGCUCUCAAUAAUCCAAGGAAAAUAAUUAUCAGAAAGCUAUUAUAUGUGCAGAUUUGUAAUAUAUUUUGAGGAAAAAUAUUAGAAAUAGAGCUAUCUCUCAAAAACUUUAUAUUUUUGUGAAAGACAUAUAUAUACACACAGUUUUUUUAUUAAAGGAGAAAAGAAAAAAAGCAGAAAAAGGGUACAAGUUAUACAGAAUUUUAGAAAAAAAAUAAACUGUAGGAAAUCACUAGUUAAUGGAUUACAUAUUGUCAUCUUCGAAAUAUUUGUUCAAGUUACAAGAUUAAAGCAUAUAAAGUGGACAUUCAAAUAAUGAGGCUGCAAACAGUUCUGUUUAAUGAUCCAGCAAAACUCAGUAAUAUCAUUGUCUAUCUUAUACACUUAAAUAUACAUGCAGUUAUACCAUUUAGAGCACUUUUUCCCUCUCUAUUGUACAAUGACUAUUAUACAUUUUGGGUUUUAUUGCUCCCACAGUUCUUAUUACUUUUUUUGGAAGAGAGUAAAACCAUAUGUGACUGAACAGAACAGAGUCAGUUAAAUCAAAAGGGUGGACAUAAUAGAUAAUGUAAAAACAUAAUACAAGGUGAUCAACAAUGGUUACCAUAAUGCCUCCCACUAUCUCAAAUAGAAUUGCCUAUAUCAUCAGUUAUAAUAAAAUUGAAAAAAACUGCCUAUAUCAUCAGUUAUAAUAAAAUUGAACAAAACUGUAAAGAACAAAACCAACAAAACCAAAACCUUGGCGACAUUACAGGUCUUCAAAAGUAGAUAAUAGUCAACCAGUAUGGGCGUCAUAAUGAAUCCCACUAUCUUCACAGCUGUUGCCUAAACUUUCGAACCUGGUACUAUCAAGCAAAGCAGAAUAGAGGAACAUCAGUCAAAACAAGAUGGUGAGAGCAAUACAGGGCUUUAAAUCAAGUUAAUAGAAUAUCAAAGUGGGUUACUAUAAUAUAUCCUGCUUUUUUAAAAUUUAUUUUUCCUUUAAUUAAAAGGAUAAAAAUAAAAACAUAAAUAACUAAAUGGAGAUUGAGAUAAAAGAGGGCAUAACAACUAAACAGUGCAGAUCAAAACAUAACCAUUUAAGCAAAUUAGUGUUUCAACACAAGAUAAUCCCGACAUAAAAGUAGUUACCAUAUUGUCUCUUUCCUCGAGCUAUUUCAGUAUAACUUCGUAUACUGUAGCAUCAAAUAUAUCAAAACAAUGUAAAACCAUUUAAGAGAAUGACAGUAUUAUAGGGUAUUUAGAAUUAACUAAUAGAUAAUGAACUAUGGUUUCUGUAUAAUCUCCUUGUCUAUAAAAGUUUUUGUUUAUACUAUCACAUAUAAUAAAAUCCAAUAAAAUACAACAUGUUAAGACCUAUGGAGACAGAAGGACAAAAGCUUGAUGGGACUUCAAAAUAAGAUGAUACCAAAUCAGCACUACCUAUUAUGACAUCGUUUUCUCCAAGAUAGCUGUUCGUAUCAUCCAAUCUUCUCUGCCUCAUUUCUCUUGAGCUCUUUCUCUGUCAUUAGUUGUCAGUUUGUCUUCUUCAUUUUGUUUUCUGCUCCAUUCAUUGUGGCCUCUCUGCCACUAUUUCUGGAUUCUCCAUAUUUUUCUUUUUUAGAAUAUCCUGCAGUAUUCUCUGUAAAGUUGAAUUGGUGGUUGCAUAUUCCCCUAGUUCCUCUUUAUCCUGAAAGCACCUUGUUUUUCCAUCAAUUUCCAGGGAUAGUUGUGCAGGAUAUCUCAAUCUUGGCUGGAGGUUAUUAUCUUUCAAAGCUUGAAUUAUUUACCCCCAUGCUCUUGGUGAUUUGAUGGUUUGUGCUGAGAAGUCUGCUGUAAUUCUGAUGGGUGUUCCCUUGUAAGUGAUUUGUUUCUUGUCUCUGACGGCUUUUAAUAUUUUGUUCUUAUAUUGGAUUUCUGGAAUUUUGAUUAUUAUAUGCCUGGGUGUAGCUCUAUUUGGGUUGUAGGUAGCUGGAGUCCUAUAUGCCUCGUAUAUCUGAGUAUCUUUACCGUUUGCUAAAUUAGGGAAAUUCUCUUGGAUUAUUUCUGUGAAUAGAUUUUGUAGUCCAUUUGUUUGUAUCCUCACUUCUUCAAUUAUGUUCUUAAUUCUUAAGUUAUAGAUCCUCUUAUCAUCUUCUAGUUUUUGUAUUGUUGCUGGGGUUUUUUUGUUAUUUUUAAGAAGCUUUUCAUUUCAUUCUCCCAUAUUACAAAUCUGCCCUCCAGUUCAGAUAAUCUGUCCUUAGUUUCUUUCAAGCUGUUAUGCCACUUUUCGAUAGAGUUUUUAGUUUCCUGGUAAUCUCUUUGAAGCUGCUUCACGUAUUCUAUGUGUUCUCUAUUUUCUCCAUCAAAUAAUUCUCCCCUCUUUUUCUGUUCUUCCAUUCCACCAUCAGCUUUUUCUUGGGUGGUGCUUAGCAUUUCUCUGACUAUUCUGCUUGUGUCUUGCUUCAGGUCAUUAAUAACUUCAUUCCUGAACUCAUCUAUGAGGCUCUGGAGAUAGCCUUUUAUAUCUAUUGUUGGCCUGUCUGCUAUUGCCUGUUUCUCAGGAUUGGGGGCUGAGGAGCCUUUCUUGUUGCUCCCUCUUCCCAUAUUCUUUGUUCCUUAUAUAUGCAAGCGUAUAUAGGAGGCCCAGCUUCCUUCCCUGUCGGCCACAGUCUGAUUGAAUUGCACCGGCUAGGUGUUCCCGCCCACUGCAGUGCACCUGGGAGUUACGGACCGGGCAGCCUAUGCAGAGCCCGCCCUUCCAGGUCAACCUACCAAAAGGCUUCACCUCUAGGUUGCACCUUCAGGCACUGGAACCUGGGUUGUGCUAGCCUACUGGGUCUCAGCCAGCAGCAUCACGUAGGCUAGGCACUGCUCACUAAUCCCGCUUGAGAGGGGGAUAUGUGACUGAAGUCACUACAGCGCCCUGUUCCAGCAAGUCUGCCCAAUCCCAGAAUGUCCUCUGUUGGCACCUCCUAGACCAUGGGAGAGUCCCAGUUUUCUUCACUCACUGGAGGUCAAUGCAUGGCUUCCCACCCGCCCAGCACUUAACUCCGUUCACCGAUUCCUGUUCUCAGAGCUUUCGCCCAUCUCUCUCCCUGCCGAGCUGAUUCAGAUGCAGCAGCGGCAGCAGGAAACCCAAAUCAUGGCUUCCAAUGGCACGGGCUCCAGCUUCCACGCUCAGGCUUUAUCUGUUCCUGUUAUAGCACCAGGAUUGCAUUCCCAGUUGGUAUCUCUCAGCCCAGUUCGUUCUUGGUUAGGAUUCCUCACUCCACCCCAUUCCUGAAUUCUAAGCUGGGUCUCGCAGAGAGCCUGUGUAGCUGCUGCUAUCUGUCCGCCAUGUUCUCCCAGCCAAGCUACACACACAGUUAAUAGCAUGAAAAAAUAUAUGAACAAGGGCUAAAUUAUAUGUUAUAUAUACUAAUUAUAAAGAAAUUCUUAGGUUGUGGAUAUAGCUCAGUGGUAGAAUGCCUGCCUAAUAUGCAUGAGGCCCUGGAUUCAAUUCCCAGCAGCAUGAAAAAGAAAAAGGGUAAGGGAGGAGAAGGGAAGGAAAGGAAAAGAAGAAAGGAAGAAACAAAAAAAGAAAAAAAUUAUCAUAAAAAGAGAAUUUCUUUAUAUUUACCAAACCGGGAUACUGGGUAGAAUAGAGCAGUAAAGAGAGGGACUAAAUCAAGCUUUAUCAAAAAAGUAUAAUCUGAAAUUUAGACUCUAUAUGUAAGGAGAAACUUCUAGAAAUGUAUCCUGAGGAAUAAUGAAAUACAGCAUGAAAAUAUUUCAAUGAAAUUUUCCUUGGAAGAUUACACAAAAAACUGAUUAUAUCUAAAGAUGGUGCUGAAUUAUAGUACUACUUUAUAAUAUUGAACUACAAACUGCAUGAGAAGCUGGAUGUGCAGACGCACACCUGAAAUCCCAGCAGUUGGGAGGCUGAGACAGGGGAAUUGUCAAGACCAGCCCAGGCUACAAAGUGAGCUCAAGGCCAGCCUGAACUGAAGAACGAGACCCUGUGUCAAGAAGACAAAAAUAAAUAAAUAAAUAAGAAAAGUCAGCAUCUCCUGGGAAUCAUCCAUGCUGGGACUUGGCGGACCAACCAAGAAAGCAACGAGCCAGCCUUCCUGGUAAGCAGAGCAAGCUACAGCUCCACAGCGAGAGAACAACACAGCUUAUGUUGUUGGGUUGAUUAUGCUGACCUGGGUCAGCAGUCUGAGCGUCUCUUGGGAGGAUGACGGUAUGCAAUAUAGAAAAUAUGGGGGAUUUCCUUAUAUUUUGUCUUUGAAGGCCAAUAUUGUUUUCACUGUUUUGCUUUGUUCUGAUGAAUUGUUUUGCUCUAUUCAAUAUUCUGUUUUGAUAGGUUUUAUAAUGUCAGCCUCUUCCGUGAGCCUAUCAACACAUAGGGUAAGAAUUAAACAUUCCAUUCUCCACCCCAACUCCCCAACUAGCAACCAGAUGGUUUUGAGGUCAGCCUGAGUUGAAAGCAACUAUGGUACAUAAAGCAACUAUGGUACAUAAAGCAACUAAAUGCUUGUGUUGUUGGGUUGAUUAUGCUGACCUGGGUCAGCAGUCUGAGCAUCUCUUGGGAGGAUGACGGUAUGCAAUAUAGAAAAUAUGGGGGAUUUCCUUCUAUUUUGUCUUUGAAGGCCAAUAUUGUUUUCACUGUUUUGCUUUGUUCUGAUGAAUUGUUUUGCUCUAUUCAAUAUUCUGUUUUGAUAGGUUUUAUAAUGUUCUGUUUUUGGUUUGACUUUGCUAUAACUGAUUGAAUGGACAACUAUUGUGAAGAUAACAGAGAUUACUAUGGUAGCUAUUACUGAUCCUGCUGUGAAGUUCUGUACCAAUUUCACAGCAUUGUCUUGAUUGGCUUUGUUCUGUCUUGUUUUGUUGUAUUUUACUAUCUUUAAAAUAAAACAAUAAUUUUCAUUUGG